CCAGAGAGAGGUAGACUUGCUAUUUCAACAGUAAAAUCAUUAAUACAAAUAAAAGUUAACAGAUAUGGACUGUAUUACUUACUAUAAUGAAAUAAAGAUCAGAAAAGAUUUUUUAAAAAAAGUGUUAUCAUCUGAAAAAUAUGAGCAUUGAUACUUUUAAGUUUCUCCUUUCACUAUUUUUGUACAUCACCAUGUACAUUUAAUCAAAUUGCGUUAUACGAAGCCAACGAAAUUUUUUCGUGCCAUCUAACUUUGUACAUCACAAUGUACAUCAUAGUCGAAUGUUUUUAUGUGGGUAGUAUACAUGCGGCAAACUGUUAACAUCAGGUCGGGCAAAUUUUAUGCGUGGUUAUGGUAUUCUAACAUAAACAACGUUUGACGUGACAUUUUAUUUUUGCAAUUGCUGUUGAAUUUUUGAAAAAAAAUUAGUUUUGUGAUUUGUUACUGGUAAGUAUGCAUUGCAACGUCAAAGUUCACAACUUUUUAGAAAUUUUUAUAUUAUACUUGAUGAACAAAUGAAGUUUGAAUUAGUAUGUACAUCAGGAAGGACAAACGCAGUUCAGUGGGUCUAAUGUUUGUUGUUGUAAAAAAGUUACAUUUUUCACAAAUGAGAUAAAUAAUUUGUAGUACUGUAAAUACUCGUAGCAUAAUGAACUGAUUUGGUUCUAUCCCUUCAAAUUUGGCUAUACUUUGUUUUUUAUCGAAGAAUUUGUUUUUUUUAUCGUAUUUUCUUCAGAUAAUGUCAAAUAUAAGAAAAGAUAAGGACCCACACAGAAAACUUACAGAAGCGGAACUUCUUUAUUACCUCGAAAAUGAUAUUUCUGAUAUCGAAUUUUUGUCAGAUGAUGAGUUGGAAUUAGACGAAGUGUGCAGAGACCAAACAAAUGAUAACGUUUUAGAUGGAAUAAGUACUGAAGAUCGAGAAAAUGAAGAUGAAGAUUUGGCAGAUGAACAAGAAGGGCCGGAGGAAAUUGUAAUUGGGGAAAAUGACAAAGAUGAUAGAGGGCAAUUCGAAAAAGAAAAAGAAAAUUUUGCGAAAAUCCAUAACCUAACUGAAAAAUCAAAAAUAAGGUGGAUACAGAAAGACAAUAUAGAAUACGAAACAAGGAAUAUUCACUGGCAUGCAAGUCAACCAUCAACCUUAGUUGUAGAUUUGCCAGCUCCAGUAAAAUUUUUUACUAAAUAUAUUCCCGAUAAAAUACUGCAACAAAUGGCUGAUAUGACAAAUUUAUACGCCACGCAGCAAAAUACUGCUAGGUUUCCCUCAACUAGUUUGACUGAAAUCAAAUCUUUUAUAGGAAUCCAUAUUAUUAUGGGAAAUUUACAGUUUCCUCGAGUCUCCAUGUAUUGGCACCGUAGUAUGGGAAUACCAUUAGUGAAAGAUAACAUGCCUCUAUCUAGAUUCUACAAGCUGCGCCAGGCAAUACAUAUAGUUGACAUUACCAGCCGCGAAGAAAACAACCAAGAUAGAUUGUGGAAGGUAAGAUGUUUGUACGAGUCUGUAAGGAGAAGAUGCCUCAAGCUUCCACUAGAAACUAAUCUGUGUGUCGAUGAACAAAUAGUUCCAUUCAAGGGACAAAUCAAUAUCAAACAAUAUGUAAAAAACAAACCCACAAAAUGGGGUAUCAAAAUCUACGUCUUAGCCGGCCAAAGUGGCCUGAUAUACGACUUUCUAAUUUAUCAAGGUUCGACAACGCCCUUCAGUCCUAUAUAUGUAAAAUAUGGGUCGGCGGCUGCCGUGGUUAUGCAACUUAGCGAAAGAAUAUCUGAAUCGAACCAUGGCCUUAUGUCAGUUUGACAUUUACUUUCACACCAUUUAAGGAAAGAAUCAUAUGCGGCUUCAUAUCUACUUUUAAAUUUUUCGGGAAUGAUCGAUGCGCAACCAAUACUCCAUGCAUCUUCUAUUUCGAAAUCUUCUGAAUCAUUUAGGAAGAAGAUUUUGCCGAAAACAAUAUAAAUAAUUUAGUCGAGAUAAAUUCUCCCUGCAUUAUUGAAAUAGAUAAACCAGAACCGAAAGAAUAUUGGGUCAUACUGGAGAGGAAACCAUUCAAAUGUGUAUGUGAUUUAAUAAUUGCAAUUGAAAUUGCUUUCGGAUUACACUACAUCUUUAACUUAGCAUAUCCAAAUGAGGUGUCCAACCUCUUGGAAAAAAUACAGAUAUUUUCUUAAAAUUAACCCCGACCAA